rnacentral:rRNA from 2 species
CGACUCUCGACAACGGAUAUCUCGGCUCUCGCAUCGAUGAAGAACGUAGCGAAAUGCGAUACUUGGUGUGAAUUGCAGAAUCCCGUGAACCAUCGAGUCUUUGAACGCAAGUUGCGCCCGAAGCCAAUAGGCCGAGGGCACGCCUGCCUGGGUGUCACGCAAUUGCUUGCCC